GGAGACGUGGCAGAGUUGGUUGAAUGCGCCGCACUCGAAAUGCGGUAUACCCGAAAGGGUAUCAGGGGUUCGAAUCCUCUCGUCUCCG
rnacentral:tRNA from 1 species